rnacentral:rRNA from 1 species
UGGGGAAUAUUGCACAAUGGGCGCAAGCCUGAUGCAGCGACGCCGCGUGAGGGAUGGAGGCCUUCGGGUUGUAAACCUCUUUCGCCAGUGAAGCAGGCCAUCUUCUUUGUGGGGUGGUUGACGGUAGCUGGAUAAGAAGCGCCGGCUAACUACGUGCCAGCAGCCGCGGUAAUACGUAGGGCGCGAGCGUUGUCCGGAAUUAUUGGGCGUAAAGAGCUCGUAGGCGGCUGGUCGCGUCUGUCGUGAAAUCCCCUGGCUUAACUGGGGGCUUGCGGUGGGUACGGGCCGGCUUGAGUGCGGUAGGAGAGACUGGAAGUCCUGGUGUAGCGGUGGAAUGCGCAGAUAUCAGGAGGAACACCGGUGGCGAAGGCGGGUCUCUGGGCCGUUACUGACGCUGAGGAGCGAAAGCGUGGGGAGCGAACAGG